rnacentral:lncRNA from 1 species
UAAAAUGCAGAUAACCUUUUGAUGUGGCCGAGCUGAUGGGUAAAGUGACUAUUGUCCUUUCUGGCAUAAAAUGCAGAUAACCUUUUGGCUGCGUUUGGUUCGGGUAUAAAUAAGAACUGCUAGUUCUUGGAAUAGAUACAAGUUCAGAUAUAAGCAGGAACUAGACAAAUUUUACGUUUGGAUGAAAAUUAGGUUGUUCCUAGUAAUAAGAUAAAUAGUAUUUGGAUGAUUAGAUUGGAACAAGAGGAAUAAGAGUUAUAAUUUGAAAUUAAAAUUAUAUUAUGUAAUUAAUAGUAAUAAAAAUAUUACUUAAAAAUAAAUAAAAAAUUAAUUAUUAAUAAUUAAUUAUAAAUAAUAAAUUAAUAAUAUGGAUGAUCUAAUUAAUAAUAAUAAUAAUAAUUAUUAAUUAUUAAUAAAUAAUAAUAAUUAUUAAUUAUUCUUAUUAAUUAAUUAUAAAUAAUAAAUUAUUAAUAAUAUUGAUUAUCUAAUUAUUAAUAAUAAUUAAUAUUAAUAUUUAUUAAUAAAUUAUUAUU